rnacentral:rRNA from 1 species
GACGAACCGUGCGAACGUUAUUCGGAAUCAUUGGGCGUAAAGCGCGUGUAGGCGGCUCGGUAAGUCCGCUCUGAAAGUCCGGGGCUCAACCCCGGGAGGCGGGUGGAUACUGUCGAGCUCGAGUCCGGAAGAGGCGAGUGGAAUUCCUGGUGUAGCGGUGAAAUGCGCAGAUAUCAGGAGGAACACCGAUGGCGAAGGCAGCUCGCUGGGACGUGACUGACGCUGAGACGCGAAAGCGUGGGGAGCAAACAGG